AUUGAACGCUGGCGGCAGGCUUAACACAUGCAAGUCGAACGGGCGUAGCAAUACGUCAGUGGCAGACGGGUGAGUAACACGUGGGAACCUUCCUCGUAGUACGGGACAACUCAGGGAAACUUGAGCUAAUACCGUAUACGUCCGAGAGGAGAAAGAUUUAUCGCUAUGAGACGGGUCCGCGUCCGAUUAGGUAGUUGGUGGGGUAACGGCCUACCAAGCCGCCGAUCGGUAGCUGAUCUGAGAGGAUGAUCAGCCACACUGGGACUGAGACACGAUCCAGACUCCUGCGGGAGGAAGCAGUAGGGAAUCUUGGACAAUGGGCGCAAGCCUGAUCCAGCCAUGCCGCGUGAGUGAAGAAGGCCUUAGGGUUGUAAAGCUCUUUUGCCAGGGACGAUAAUGACGGUACCUGGAGAAUAAGCCCCGGCAAACUUCGUGCCAGCCGCCGCCGUAAUAC
rnacentral:rRNA from 1 species